rnacentral:rRNA from 1 species
CCUACGGGAGGCAGCAGUGAGGAAUAUUGGUCAAUGGGCGCGAGCCUGAACCAGCCAAGUCGCGUGAGGGAAGACGGUCCUAUGGAUUGUAAACCUCUUUUGUCGGGGAGCAAAAGACGCCACGCGUGGCGUUCCGAGAGUACCCGAAGAAAAAGCAUCGGCUAACUCCGUGCCAGCAGCCGCGGUAAUACGGAGGAUGCGAGUGUUAUCCGGUUUUAUGGGGUUGAACGGGUGCGCAGGCGGAAGAUCAAGUCAGCGGUAAAAUUGAGGGGCUCAACCUCUUCGAGCCGUUGAAACUGGUUUUCUUGAGUGAGUGAGAGGUAUGCGGAAUGCGUGGUGUAGCGGUGAAAUGCAUAGAUAUCACGCAGAACUCCGAUUGCGAAGGCAGCAUACCGGCGCUCAACUGACGCUGAUGCACGAAAGUGUGGGUAUCGAACAGGAUUAGAUACCCUUGUAGUC